CAGAUAUAUAUAUAUGGUUCACUGUAAAUUACCUGUUGUUACCAUGGAUAUAUCAACGGAUAACGUUCUCCUCGUUUCUGGUGGCGUUGACAAGAACAUUAAAAUUUGGGGUUUGGAUUUUGGUGAUUGUCGAAAAUCAAUAUUCGCCCAUGAUGACAGUGUCAUGGCCGUGCAGUUCGUGCCGAAAACUCAUUAUUUCUUCAGUGCAAGUAAAGAUAAAACGAU